rnacentral:rRNA from 1 species
AGCCGCCGCGGUAAAACAGAGGGUGCGAGCGUUAAUCGGAUUUACUGGGCGUAAAGCGUGCGUAGGCGGCUUCUUAAGUCGGAUGUGAAAUCCCUGAGCUUAACUUAGGAAUUGCAUUCGAUACUGGGAAGCUAGAGUAUGGGAGAGGAUGGUAGAAUUCCAGGUGUAGCGGUGAAAUGCGUAGAGAUCUGGAGGAAUACCGAUGGCGAAGGCAGCCAUCUGGCCUAAUACUGACGCUGAGGUACGAAAGCAUGGGGAGCAAACAGGAUUAGAUACCCGCGUAGUCCCUGUCUCUUAUACA